rnacentral:rRNA from 1 species
AUUGCACGCUAGCGGGAUGCUUUACACAUGCAAGUCGAACGAGUGGCGGACGGGUGAGUAAUAUAUCGGAACGUGCCCAGUAGCGGGGGUUAACUACCCGAAUGUGUGGCUAAUUCCCCAUACUCUUGGAGUGGCCGUUAUCGGAUUAGCUAGUUGGAGGGGUAAAGGCUCACCAAGGCACCGAUCCGUAGCUGGUUUGAGAGGACGACCAGCCACACUGUGACUGAGACACGGCCCAGACUCCUACGGGAGGCAGCAGUGGGGAAUUUUGGACAAUGGGGGAAACCCUGAUCCAGCCAUCCCGCGUGUAUGAGAAGGCCUUCGGGUUGUAAAGUACUUUUAGCAGAGAAGCGGUAUCUGCAGAAUAAGCACCGGCUAACUACGUUCCAGCAGCCGCGGUAAUAC